GCGCUGGCGGGGGGGGUCCGGGGCUCGGCGGAGCCGCCCGACGCUCGGGGACCAGGGGACCCGGACGGGGACACACGGGCAGCGGCUCACGGACACACACACCGGACACGGACACACACUCACACACGCGGAGGACAGACGGGCCCCGGGGGCGCGACACCGGACCCCCCGCCGCCCCUGACACGUAUCCCCGGCGCCGUGGCCGGGUCCGUGCAGCGCGGGGCCGCGGGACAGAGGCGGUAGUCUUCCUGAAGUCCUGAAGAUUGGAAGAAAAUAAACCAGCAGCUGACAGACAACUGGUAAAUACCCCUCUGAAGUCAUUCGCUGAGUUUCAGCUGCCCUACCAUCUUCUCAGAAUUAACAUUGACGUGUUGGAUAUCCAAGAAACCUGACCAGGUCCCAAAGAAUAACUCCAGGAACUUCAUCUGCCGUUUUUCCCGAUCUGGAAACUAUUACUUUUUGUUGAUGUGGCCAUGAGAGCAGAGACCAGUGACCUGCCUAGUUUCUAGUCUGCCAGCCAGAGGCACCGAGCCAACAGUCCUCUGCUUCGACACCCACCGCGGCAUCAUCUGACCGCGGAACAGAACUCCCCGCCGCGUCCACCGGACCUUGCCACCCCACCCGCCCCCUCCGCCGGCAAGGA